rnacentral:rRNA from 1 species
UCCAGACUCCUACGGGAGGCAGCAGUGGGGGAUAUUGCACAAUGGGGGGAACCCUGAUGCAGCGACGCCGCGUGGGUGAAGGAGCGUUUCGGCGCGUAAAGCCCUCUCGGCAGGGAAGAAGGAGGACGGUACCUGACUAAGAAGCCCCGGCUAACUACGUGCCAGCAGCCGCGGUAAUACGUAGGGGGCAAGCGUUAUCCGGAUUUACUGGGUGUAAAGGGGGCGCAGACGGCAGCGCAAGCCAGGAGUGAGAGCCCGGGGCCCAACCCCGGGACUGCUCUUGGAACUGCGUGGCUGGAGUGCAGGAGGGGCAGGCGGAAUUCCUGGUGUAGCGGUGAAAUGCGUAGAUAUCAGGAGGAACACCGGUGGCGAAGGCGGCCUGCUGGACUGCAACUGACGUUGAGGCCCGAAAGCGUGGGGAGCAAACAGGAUUAGAUACCCUAGUAC